rnacentral:rRNA from 1 species
ACGCUGGCGGUAUGCUUAACACAUGCAAGUCGAACGGAAACGAUACUAGCUUGCUAGUAGGCGUCGAGUGGCGGACGGGUGAGUAACGCGUAGGAAUCUGCCUGAUAGUGGGGGAUAGCCCGAAGAAAUUCGGAUUAAUACCGCAUAAUCUAUUCGUAGUAAAGUGGGGGACUUUCGAGCCUCACGCUAUCAGAUGAGCCUGCGUAAGAUUAGCUAGUUGGUAGGGUAAAAGCCUACCAAGGCAACGAUCUUUAGCUGGUCUGAGAGGAUGAUCAGCCACAUCGGGACUGAGACACGGCCCGAACUCCUACGGGAGGCAGCAGUGGGGAAUAUUGGACAAUGGGGGCAACCCUGAUCCAGCAAUACCGCGUGUGUGAAGAAGGCCUGAGGGUUGUAAAGCACUUUCAAUUGUGAAGAAAAGUUAACGGUUAAUAACCGUUAGCCUUGACGUUAACUUUAGAAGAAGCACCGGCUAACUCCGUGCCAGCAGCCGCGGUAAUACGGAGGGUGCAAGCGUUAAUCGGAAUUACUGGGCGUAAAGCGUGCGUAGGCGGUUUAUUAAGUCAGAUGUGAAAGCCCCGGGCUUAACCUGGGAACUGCAUUUGAAACUGGUCAACUAGAGUAUGGUAGAGGAAAGUGGAAUUUCUGGUGUAGCGGUGAAAUGCGUAGAUAUCAGAAGGAACAUCAAUGGCGAAGGCAGCUUUCUGGACCAAUACUGACGCUGAGGUACGAAAGCGUGGGUAGCAAACAGGAUUAGAUACCCUGGUAGUCCACGCCGUAAACGAUGAUAACUAGCCGUUGGGGGGAUUUACCCUUUAGUGGCGAAGCUAACGCGUUAAGUUAUCCGCCUGGGGAGUACGGCCGCAAGGUUAAAACUCAAAGGAAUUGACGGGGACCCGCACAAGCGGUGGAGCAUGUGGUUUAAUUCGAUGCAACGCGAAGAACCUUACCUGGUCUUGACAUCCUGCGAACUUUCUAGAAAUAGAUUGGUGCCUUCGGGAACGCAGUGACAGGUGCUGCAUGGCUGUCGUCAGCUCGUGUCGUGAGAUGUUGGGUUAAGUCCCGUAACGAGCGCAACCCCUAUCCUUAUUUGCCAGCACGUCAUGGUGGGAACUAUAAGGAGACUGCCGGUGAUAAACCGGAGGAAGGCGGGGACGACGUCAAGUCAUCAUGGCCCUUACGACCAGGGCUACACACGUGCUACAAUGGGAAGGACAAAGAGCCGCGAAGCCGCGAGGUGUAGCUAAUCUCAGAAACCUUUUCGUAGUCCGGAUUGGAGUCUGCAACUCGACUCCAUGAAGUCGGACUCGCUAGUAAUCGUAGAUCAGUAUGCUACGGUGAUAAAGUUCCCGGGGGGACACACCGCCCGUCAGGCGAUUCGUAGCUGCAUACUCGCUAACCGGGGGNNNCCUCCUUUUUUUUUUUUUUUUUUU